AUACGUAGGGGGCGAGCGUUGUCCGGAAUGAUUGGGCGUAAAGGGCGCGUAGGCGGCCUGUUAAGUCUGGAGUGAAAGUCCUGUUUUCAAGAUGGGAAUUGCUUUGGAUACUGAUGGGCUUGAGUGCAGGAGAGGUUAUCGGAAUUCCCGGUGUAGCGGUGAAAUGCGUAGAGAUCGGGAGGAACACCAGUGGCGAAGGCGGGUAACUGGACUGCAACUGACGCUGAGGCGCGAAGGUGUGGGGAGCAAACAGGAUUAGAUACCCUGGUAGUCCACACUGUAAACGAUGAAUGCUAGGUGUAGGGGGUAUCGACCCCUUCUGUGCCGCAGUCAACACAAUAAGCAUUCCGCCUGGGGAGUACGGCCGCAAGGUUGAAACUCAAAUGAAUUGGCGGGG
rnacentral:rRNA from 1 species